GAUGAACGCUGGCGGCGUGCCUAAUACAUGCAAGUAGAACGCUGAAGGAGGAGCUUGCUCUUCUGGAUGAGUUGCGAACGGGUGAGUAACGCGUAGGUAACCUGCCUGGUAGCGGGGGAUAACUAUUGGAAACGAUAGCUAAUACCGCAUGACAACAGUUAUUGCAUGAUAACUGUUUAAAAGGGGCAACUGCUCCACUACCAGAUGGACCUGCGUUGUAUUAGCUAGUUGGUGAGGUAACGGCUCACCAAGGCGACGAUACAUAGCCGACCUGAGAGGGGGGUCAGCCAAGCCGGGACUGGGACACGGCCCAGGCUCCUACGGGGAGCAGCCGGAGGGGAAUUUCGGGAAUGGACGGAAAGCUGACCGGGCCAAGCCGGGGGGGUGGAGAAGGGUUUCGGGUCGUAAAGCUCUGUUGAUAGGGAAGAACGAGAGUGAGAGUGGAAAGUUCACGCUGUGACGGUAGCUUACCAGAAAGGGACGGCUAACUACGUG
rnacentral:rRNA from 1 species